ACGUAAAAACACCGGUCCCGCUACGAUCACAGAAGUUAAGCAACGUCGAGCCUGGUUAGUACUUAGAUGGGUGGCCGCUUGGGAAUACUAGGUGCUGUAAG